rnacentral:rRNA from 1 species
UACGGGGGGGGCAAGCGUUGUCCGGAAUCAUUGGGCGUAAAGCGCACGUAGGCGGCCCGGUAAGUCCGUUGUGAAAGUCAGAGGCUCAACCUCUGGAGGCCAAUGGAUACUGCCGGGCUAGAGUCCGGAAGAGGCGAGUGGAAUUCCUGGUGUAGCGGUGGAAUGCGCAGAUAUCAGGAGGAACACCAAUGGCGAAGGCAGCUCGCUGGGACGGUACUGACGCUGAGGUGCGAAAGCGUGGGGAGCGAACAGG